UACGUAGGGGGCAAGCGUUGUCCGGAAUCAUUGGGCGUAAAGCGCGUGUAGGCGGCCAGAAAAGUCCGCUGUGAAAACUCGAGGCUCAACUUCGAGCUGUCGGUGGAAACUUUCUGGCUAGAGUCCGGAAGAGGAGAAUGGAAUUCCUGGUGUAGCGGUGAAAUGCGCAGAUAUCAGGAAGAACACCCGUGGCGAAGGCGGUUCUCUGGGCAGUAACUGACGCUGAGGAGCGAAAGCGUGGGGAGCGAACAGG
rnacentral:rRNA from 1 species